CCUACGGGAGGCAGCAGUGAGGAAUAUUGGUCAAUGGACGAGAGUCUGAACCAGCCAAGUAGCGUGAAGGAUGACUGCCCUGUGGAUUGUAAACUUCUUUUAUAAGGGAAUAAAACGAGGCACGUGUGCCUGUUUGCAUGUACUUUAUGAAUAAGGAUCGGCUAACUCCGUGCCAGCAGCCGCGGUAAUACGGAGGAUGCGAGCGUUAUCCGGAUUUAUUGGGUUUAAAGGGAGCGUAGAUGGGUUGUUAAGUCAGUUGUGAAAGUUUGCGGCUCAACCGUAAAAUUGCAAUUGAUACUGGCAGUCUUGAGUACAGUUGAGGUAGGCGGAAUGCGUGGUGUAGCGGUGAAAUGCUUAGAUAUCACGAAGAACCCCGAUUGCGAAGGCAGCUUACUAAACUGUGACUGACAUUGAUGCUCGAAAGUGUGGGUAUCAAACAGGAUUAGAUACCCUUGUAGUC
rnacentral:rRNA from 1 species